GUCAGGUACGGAGGCUCCGUAAUAAGGAUGUAGCCUCUGUUAAGGUACUGUGGCGGAACGAGAAUAGGGAGGAAAUGACCUGGGAGUCCGAGGAAGAAAUGAAGAAGAAAUAUCCUCAUCUGUUCCCUAUGCCCACAGUUGGUUUGGAAGAAAGAGGACUUGUUUCUUCAAAUUGACAACUCACUCAAGUGAAGAAGAUUGGAGAAAAAGAUUUUCGACGAAACGGAGAGUGAGCUUGGAUAGGCUUAAAAAGCUCAAAAGGUA